UACGACUACAUAUCAGGCAUAUCAAUAAGCGGAGGAAAAGAAACUAACAAGGAUUCCCCUAGUAACGGCGAGUGAAGCGGGAAGAGCUCAAAUUUGAAAUCUUAAAGGGUUUCCCUUUACGAAUUGUAGUUUAAAGAAGUGUUUUCUGUUGGAGUUUCGGUAAAAGUUCUUUGGAAUAGGACAUCAUAGAGAGUGAGAAUCCCGUAUUUGACCGUUACUUUCCAGCUGUGUGAUACACUUUCAAAGAGUCGGAUUGUUUGGGAAUGCAGUCCAAGAUGGGUGGUAAAUUUCAUCUAAAGCUAAAUAUUGGUGAGAGACCGAUAGCGAACAAGUACCGUGAGGGAAAGAUGAAAAGAACUUUGAAAAGAGAGUUAAACAGUACGUGAAAUUGUCAAAAGGGAAGCGUUUGACACCAGUGUUGUUUAGUUGAAAAUCAAUUCAAUAGUUUUUGAUUCUAAGUAGUAUUGACUUCAUCAGCUUGCUGCUUUCUUCUCAGAAAUUAUUGAAUGCACUUUUCAGUUAACAAGUCAACAUCAAUUUCUUUUGUUGUAAAAGGGUAAGAGGAAGGUGGCUUGCGCUUCGGCUCAAGUGUUUAUAGCCUUUUAUCUCUGCAAUCGGAGAGAUUGAGGUCUGCAGCGUAGAUCCUUCGGGGUUAGAUACAUUGGUGCUAAGCUAUAGCCUUGUAUAGACAACUUGUUGACUACGCUCAGUCAUGUAGCUUACUCGCUGAUGCUAUUUUACCUACGCUUAGGAUGUUGAUCUACAGAGCGAGAGU
rnacentral:rRNA from 1 species